AGCGAACGCUGGCGGCAGGCCUAACACAUGCAAGUCGAACGAUCCUUCGGGAUAGUGGCGGACGGGUGAGUAACACGUGGGAACGUGCCCUUUGGUUCGGAAUAACUCAGGGAAACUUGAGCUAAUACCGGAUGUGCCCCUCGGGGGAAAGAUUUAUCGCCAUUGGAGCGGCCCGCGUUGGAUUAGCUAGUUGGUGGGGUAAAGGCCCACCAAGGCUACGAUCCAUAGCUGGUCUGAGAGGAUGAUCAGCCACACUGGGACUGAGACACGGCCCAGACUCCUACGGGAGGCAGCAGUGGGGAAUCUUGCGCAAUGGGCGAAAGCCUGACGCAGCCAUGCCGCGUGAAUGAUGAAGGUCUUAGGAUUGUAAAAUUCUUUCACCGGGGACGAUAAUGACGGUACCCGGAGAAGAAGCCCCGGCUAACUUCGUGCCAGCAGCCGCGGUAAGAC
rnacentral:rRNA from 1 species